GACGAACGCUGGCGGCGUGCUUAACACAUGCAAGUCGAGCGGUAAGGCCCUUCGGGGUACACGAGCGGCGAACGGGUGAGUAACACGUGGGUGACCUGCCUCUAGCUCUGGGAUAAGCCUGGGAAACUGGGUCUAAUACCGGAUAUGACUCCACGGCGCAUGUUGUGGGGUGGAAAGCCUUGUGUGGCUAGAGAUGGGCCCGCGGCCUAUCAGCUUGUGGUGGGGUGAUGGCCUACCAGGGCGACGACGGGUAGCCGGCCUGAGAGGCGACCGGCCACACUGGGACUGAGACACGGCCCAGACUCCUACGGGAGGCAGCAGUGGGGAAUCUUGCGCAAUGGGCGAAAGCCUGACGCAGCGACGCCGCGUGAGGGAUGACGGCCUCGGUU
rnacentral:rRNA from 1 species